GAUGAACGCUAGCUACAGGCUUAACACAUGCAAGUCGAGGGGAAACGACAUCGAAAGCUUGCUUUUGGUGGGCGUCGACCGGCGCACGGGUGAGUAACGCGUAUCCAACCUGCCCACCACUUGGGGAUAACCUUGCGAAAGUAAGACUAAUACCCAAUGAUAUCCCACGAAGGCAUCCGAAUGGGAUUAAAGAUUUAUCGGCAACGGAUGGGGAUGCGUCUGAUUAGGUUGUUGGCGGGGUAACGGCCCACCAAGCCCACGAUCAGUAGGGGUUCUGAGAGGAAGGUCCCCCACAUUGGAACUGAGACACGGUCCAAACUCCUACGGGAGGCAGCAGUGAGGAAUAUUGGUCAAUGGGCGUGAGCCUGAACCAGCCAAGUAGCGUGCGGGACGAAGGCCCUAUGGGUUGUAAACCGCUUUUUCAGGGGGAUAAAGUGAGUGACGUGUCAUUCAUUGCAGGUACCCUGCGAAUAAGGACCGGCUAAUUCCGUG
rnacentral:rRNA from 1 species